GAGUAACGGUGGUGUUUGUAAAUGAUUUAUAAGUUGGUAAAAUUAAUUUAUAAAUUAAAAUAAAUAAGUCUUUCCCGAACGGGCCAAACUUCGGGCAGCCUCUAUAUAAACCGACCUUCCAUUCAUUUAUUUAUACCAAUUCAGUACUAGUAUAUUUAUUUCUUCUCCCUCUUCACUACUAAUUCUUGUUUCUCUCUCCAAAAAUUAAUUAAGAAUGGAGGCAAUGAAGAUGAAGGUGGUUGUGGGUGUUGUGAUGAUGGUCUUGGCGGUGGUUCAGAAUGCGGCGGCAGCAGCAACAGAGGCCCCUGCACCCAGUCCUACUUCAGAUGCCUCCAUUUUUGUACCCACUGCUNNN
rnacentral:lncRNA from 1 species